UGAAAUAGACUUGAAAAUGUGUGUCGCCAGGUUCCAAAUAAGAAAAAAAUCAGCAUUUUUAUAUAGGGUCUUCACACAGUAAAAUUAUUUGUGCCCAAGUAAUAAUAGAUGAAUGCAUAUUAGGCUUCAAUGUUGCUUAUACUAUGACUACUGGUUCAUACGAUGCCAAUUUUAUAAAUAUCUAUGCCAAAUUUAAUGCAAUAGAAUUGAAAAUGUGAUUCGCCAGGUACCAAGUAAGAAAAAAAUCCGCAUUUUUAUGUAGGGUCUUCACACGGUAAAAUUAUUUGUUCCCAAAUAAUAAUAGAUGAAUACAUAUUAGGCUUCAAUGUUGCUUAUACUAUGACGAUAUGUUCAUACAAUGCCAUUUUUAAAAAUAUCUAUGCCAAAUUUAAUGAAAUAGAAUUAAAAAUGUGUGUCGCCAGGUACCAAGUAAGAAAAAAAUCAGCAUUUUUAUGUAGGGUCUUCACAUGGUAAAAUUAUUUGUGCCAAAAAUAAUAACAGAUGAAUGCAUAUUAGGCUUCAAUGUUGCUUAUACUAUGACUACUGGUUCAUACAAUGCCAUUUUUAAAAAUAUCUAUGCCAAAUUUAAUGAAAUAGACUUGAAAAUGUGUGUCGCCAGGUACCAAGUAAGAAAAAAUCAGCAUUUUUAUGUAGGGUCUUCACACGGUAAAAUUAUUUGUGCCCAAAUAAUAAUAGAUGAAUGCAUAUUAGGCUUCAAUGUUGCUUAUACUAUGACUACUGGUUCAUACGAUGCCAGUUUUAUAAAUAUCUAUGCCAAAUUUAAUGAAAUAGACUUGAAAAUGUGUGUCGCCAGGUACCAAAUAAGAAAAAAAUCAGCAUUUUUAUGUAGGAUCUUCACACGGUAAAAUUGUUUGUGCCCAAAUAAUAAUACAUGUAGAUGAAUGCAUAUUAGGCUUCAAUGUUGCUUAUACUAUGACUACUGGUUCAUACGAUGCCAUUUUUUAAAAUAUCUAUGCCAAAUUUAAUGAAAAAGACUUGAAAAUGUGUGUCGCCAGGUACCAGGUGAGAAAAAAAUCAGCAUUUUUAUGUAGGGUCUUCACACAGUAAAAUUAUUUGUGCCCAAUUAAUAAUAGAUGAAUGCAUAUUAGGCUUCAAUGUUGCUUAUACUAUGACUACUGGUUCAUACGAUGCCAAUUUUAUAAAUAUCUAUGCCAAAUUUAAUGAAAUAGACUUGAAAAUGUGUGUCGCCAGGUACCAAGUAAGAAAAAAAUCAGCAUUUUUAUGUAGGGUCUUCACACAGUAAAAUUAUUUGUGCCCAAAUAAUAAUAGAUAAAUGCAUAUAAGGCUUCAAUGCAGGGUUGGCAUAUUGACCGGUCAAUUGAGUAUUGACCGGGCCGGCGGUCAAUACCUGGUUAAAACCGGUCAAUACUGGUCAUUACUGGUCGAUUGAAAAUUGUAGCAUUUAAACAUUACAAAGGAGCCAUUUUAUAUAAAAUCAAUAAUUAUUCUGUAAUUGAUAAACUUUUUUCUGAGUUAUUUAUUUUUAAAAAAUCUUUAAAGCUGUAAAAAGUUACUUCUUAAUUAUUUAUGGAAACAGCCUCAAAUACAUAAGGACUAAGGCAAUAUCUUUAUCUCAGUGUAUCACAUCUGUUACUAAUUAGCCGGAUUUUACAUAAAUUCCAGGUUGAUAAACACAACAAGGUAAAGGUACUUUGUAGUCGGUGAGAUAUAAUAAUAAUACAGUUAGUAAGGCUCGUACCCUGGGUACGGUAAAUAUACUAAAACGUACGCGGGAAUUUUAACACUAAAUCGGUUGUUGUCGGCUAUUUUGUAAAAAUUAAUUAUGUUUACAUUUAUGUAAAUUUUCUGUUGAAUGGCAUUUAUAUUAUCAAAACUCAUUGUUAAAAUCAAUAAUGUGAUUUAAUUUUAAAUCUUAAAUUGUUUAAAGUCGCGUCAUUGUAUGACUUCGUCAAGUAUAAUAUUUUCCGCGACAUCGCACGUUCACUUUUUACCGUCAUAGAUUUUUUUAAAGAAACAUUAUUUGGUUACCAAGGUCCGUUAAAUGGGGAACACCAUAUUCGGUAUUUAUAUUAUGUUUUAACAAUUAAUUAAUGCUGUGUAAUAAAUAUUGUUUAAGAUAUUUCGAUAUUUAUUGAAAAUGUUUCAAAUUGUUAUUUAUGAAACCUCUUAUUCUAAUGAGUGUAUGCUAUUAUAUUAUACUUUGAAAAGCAUAUCUGUUGUACUAUAAUCUUAUUAUUCAUUUAUUACUGUUAAUUUCAUUUAUUGUAGAGAAUCGUCAAUGUUACAUCUAGUCGCCAAUGCUUGUUGUCAGUGUUAGUCGUAAAUGCUUGUGAUCAUUGUCGUCGAUGUUAGUCGUCAAUCCUUAUCGUCAUUAUACAUGAAGGAAAUAAAAGCAGAAACAGA